rnacentral:rRNA from 1 species
AUUGAACGCUGGCGGCAUGCUUUACACAUGCCAGUCGAACGGCAGCGCGGGCUUCGGCCUGGCGGCGAGUGGCGAACGGGUGAGUAAUACAUCGGAACGUGCCCAUUAGUGGGGGAGAGCUCGGCGAAAGCCGGAUUAAUACCGCAUACGACCUGAGGGUCAAAGCGGGGGAUCUUCGGACCUCCCGCUAUUGGAGCGGCCGAUGGCAGAUUAGCUAGUUGGUGGGGUAAAGGCCUACCAAGGCGACGAUCUGUAGCUGGUCUGAGGGGACGACCAGCCACACUGGGACUGAGACACGGCCCAGACUCCUACGGGAGGCAGCAGUGGGGAAUAUUGGACAAUGGGCGCAAGCCUGAUCCAGCAAUGCCGCGUGUGUGAUGAAGGCCUUCGGGUUGUAAAGCACUUUUGGCGGGAACGAAAAGGACUGUGCCAAUACCACGGUUCGAUGACGGUACCCGAAGAAUAAGCACCGGCUAACUACGUG